CUUGUCUUGAAUUAAAAAUCAAUAAAAAUAGGGUUCAUCUCAUCCAAUACAUGAAAGGAAUUAGCUUAACAUGAUAUUGGAAUUAAACGUAUAAAAGUUGAACGACAUGACUGAAAUUUGACGGAACGUGAUUAUUUUCCAAAGUGAGAAUGCAGUGGCCGUGUUGUUUCUUCCAAAUUCCUUCAGCUUGCGUAUUUAUCUCUUCAUUUUCAGCCCAAUUCAGCUGCCACCUUUUUCUCUUAUUGCAUGUGUGUCUCUCCCCAGCCGCCUUCUUUAAUUUUCCAACGCGUGCUUGUGUAUAUGUAUGUGCUUCCCAAGUUGCCAAUGUGUGUAUAUCUCAAAUAAUUAAGCAACAGGCACCUUAAUUCUCCUCAAAUUCAGCAGCCUUUUUCUGUUUGUAUUUUUAUCUUCCACAGCCGCAAUUGUAUGUGUAUCUCUUUCCUCCAAGCAGCUGCCCAAUGUGGGUUAGUAUCAGAGGCGUCCCUGAGGGCGUACGAGUUCAGCGACCACACAGGGCCUUAGCAUUAUAGGGGUACCAAAUUUUUUUUAGUUAGUGUAUAUAUAUGUAGAAGUACAUAUUUAUAAUGUUUUAUUAAUUUUAAAAUUUAAAUUUUUG
rnacentral:lncRNA from 1 species